AGGCAACCGCUCUUCCCGAAUUUUGCGCCGAUGGCGCGAUAAAAAUCCCGCCUUUACCCUUUUCUCGAACCGUCCUUCAAAUACUCGCAUCUUUCGCCGCUUCUUCUUCCCUGAGCUCAACAAACUUCUCUUGUCCAGCGAACCAUCUUUCGACGCACUCCGGCGCCCAUUCAGCUUCCAGCUACAUUUCUCCAGUGACUCCUCAUCUUUUGACCAAUUCGCACCAGUCC
rnacentral:lncRNA from 1 species